UGUGGUACGUAGUGGUAAUAGUACGCGCCCCGCUCCGAAACAAAGAAAAAGGUGCGUGCCGCACUCACGAGGGACUGCCAGUGAGAUACUGGAGGAAGGUGGGGAUGACGUCAAGUCCGCAUGGCCCUUAUGGGCUGGGCCACACACGUGCUACAAUGGCAAUGACAAUGGGAAGCAAGGCUGUAAGGCGGAGCGAAUCCGGAAAGAUUGCCUCAGUUCGGAUUGUUCUCUGCAACUCGGGAACAUGAAGUUGAAAUCGCUAGUAAUCGCGGAUCAGCAUGCCGCGGUGAAUAUGUACCCGGGC
rnacentral:ncRNA from 1 species